rnacentral:rRNA from 1 species
ACGGGUGAGUAAUACAUCGGAACGUGUCCUGUAGUGGGGGAUAGCCCGGCGAAAGCCGGAUUAAUACCGCAUACGCUCUACGGAGGAAAGGGGGGGAUCUUAGGACCUCCCGCUACAGGGGCGGCCGAUGGCAGAUUAGCUAGUUGGUGGGGUAAAGGCCUACCAAGGCGACGAUCUGUAGCUGGUCUGAGAGGACGACCAGCCACACUGGGACUGAGACACGGCCCAGACUCCUACGGGAGGCAGCAGUGGGGAAUUUUGGACAAUGGGGGCAACCCUGAUCCAGCAAUGCCGCGUGUGUGAAGAAGGCCUUCGGGUUGUAAAGCACUUUUGUCCGGAAAGAAAACGCCGUGGUUAAUACCCGUGGCGGAUGACGGUACCGGAAGAAUAAGCACCGGCUAACUACGUGCCAGCAGCCGCGGUAAUACGUAGGGUGCAAGCGUUAAUCGGAAUUACUGGGCGUAAAGCGUGCGCAGGCGGUCCGCUAAGACAGAUGUGAAAUCCCCGGGCUUAACCUGGGAACUGCAUUUGUGACUGGCGGGCUAGAGUAUGGCAGAGGGGGGAGAUUCCACGUGUAGCAGUG